AGAGUUUGAUCCUGGCUCAGGAUGAACGCUAGCUACAGGCUUAGCACAUGCAAGUCGCGGGGCAGCAUGUUACUGGUUUGCCAGUAAUGAUGGCGACCGGCGCACGGGUGAGUAUCGCGUAUCCAACCUUCCCAUAUCCACGGGAUAGCCUGCCGAAAGGCAGAUUAAUACCGUAUGUUGUCGCACGCUGGCAUCAAAAUGCGACGAAAGGCUUAGCGGAUAUGGAUGGGGAUGCGUCCGAUUAGCUUGACGGCGGGGUAACGGCCCACCGUGGCGACGAUCGGUAGGGGUUCUGAGAGGAAGGUCCCCCACAUUGGAACUGAGACACGGUCCAAACUCCUACGGGAGGCAGCAGUGAGGAAUAUUGGUCAAUGGGCGCAAGCCUGAACCAGCCAAGUAGCGUGCAGGAUGACGGCCCUAUGGGUUGUAAACUGCUUUUAUGCGGGGAUAAAGUAUGGGACGCGUCCCAUUUUGCAGGUACCGCAGAAUAAGGACCGGCUAAUUCCGUGCCAGCAGCCGCGGUAAUACGGAAGGUCCGGGCGUUAUCCGGAUUCAUUGGGUUUAAAGGGAGCGUAGGCCGCCCCUUAAGCGUGUUGUGAAAUGCCGCGGCUCAACCGUGGCACUGCAGCGCGAACUGGGGGGCUUGAGUGUGCGCGACGCAGGCGGAAUUCGUGGUGUAGCGGUGAAAUGCUUAGAUAUCACGAGGAACCCCGAUUGCGAAGGCAGCUUGCGGGAGCACUACUGACGCUGAAGCUCGAAGGCGCGGGUAUCGAACAGGAUUAGAUACCCUGGUAGUCCGCGCGGUAAACGAUGGAUGCCCGCUGUGUGCCAUUCUGGUAUGCGGCC
rnacentral:rRNA from 1 species